UCCAUCUGGAGUGCGGAUAUCCUCUGCGACCAUUUAUUUGCCUGGGCUUCGAAGACCACUUGAGAAGGUGUCUAAGGUGGGGCACUUUUCGCUAUUCGAGAGGGAGCCUGUGGCCUCCGUGGGUUGCCUUCGAAGAGGUAUCCAGCCUUCAGAUUCUUAUCAAGAGCAGACCAGGAAAUCAGUGUCUUUCGGCAUGUGGCACCACCCACAAGCCUACGUCUCGAAUUUCUUCUUGAGACGGACCUCAACCUGAGGUGCACCAGGAAGGUCGGUAACCCUUUCAGACAAAGCAAGUGAAUCGACCCUCUUGUCCCGAUCAGGAGGGGAGAAGGGGCUCAGAUGAAGUGGUGCCGGGAACCUCGAUGUUCCCCUCGAGUAAAACUGGGAUGUCGGGGAACUUUUGGAGUCACAUCAAAGGUGCUAAGUACCGUUUCAAACUUCAAGACGGAACGUGAGACUUCUCUUGAGACGCUGUAGCUGGCAAGGGCCUCAUCUUGUGGUGACGGGUUAACCACGUCGUUUUUCUCGAGUUGUGGCGGGAUUCUCGAGUUAGGUCAGGAAAUUCAGGCUUCCUCUUGUGUUGGCCCAGGGAAGUCCAGUCUUCCAUUCGAGUUGCGAGGGAGAGCUAGGGAUUGCGCUUGAGUUACUGCAGGGCAAAAGAGACCUUAUCUAGGCUUGUGUCCAGGACAUAAUGUUCGUCUCCAGGGGGGACAGGGAUCUCGGGGUUGCUUUCCUGAUGCACCCGGGGAGUCAGUCCUUGUCUCGAGGGGAAGCGAAGGACUCCGCUCUCCUCUCGAG